rnacentral:piRNA from 1 species
UGUUGUGUAUGUAUGUGUAUGUGUGCACAA